GUGGGAGCGAGCCUGCUCGCGAUGGCGGUGCGUCAGUCACUUAGUGGUCGACUGGCAGAUAGCAAUCGCGAGCAGGCUCGCUCCCAC
rnacentral:misc_RNA from 1 species